UGAAUACGAGACGCUAAGGCGUCGAAGUAGUGUAUGUCAUACUUCCAAGAAAAGCUUGCACUGUCAUAAGUAAAAAAUGCCUGUACCAUAACCGACACAGGUGGGUAGGUAGAGUAUACUAAGGGGCGCGAGAUAACUCUCUCUAAGGAACUCGGCAAAAUAACUCCGUAACUUCGGGAGAAGGAGUACCUUAUUCUAUAAGGUUGCAAUAACAAGAUCCAAGCAACUGUUUAUCAAAAACACAGGUCUCCGCUAAGUCGUAAGACGAUGUAUGGGGGCUGACGCCUGCCCAGUGCCAGAAGGUUAAAGAAGUCGGUUAGCAUUAGCGAAGCUGGUAACUGAAGCCCUGGUGAACGGCGGCCGUAACAAUAACGGUCCUAAGGUAGCGAAAUUCCUUGUCGGGUAAGUUCCGACCCGCACGAAAGGCGUAAUGAUUUGGAUACUGUCUCGGAGAGGGGCUCGGUGAAAUAGACUUGUCUGUGAAGAUGCGGACUACCUGCACCAGGACAGAAAGACCCUAUGAAGCUUUACUGCAACUUGAAAUUGAAAUUGGACUUUAUUCGCGCAGUAUAGGUGGGAGGUGUUGAUUAUAAUCUUGCGGGAUUAUUGGAGCCAUCAGUGAGAUACCACUCUUGUAAUGUUAGAUUUCUAACUUUGAAUCAUAUCUGGUCAAAGGACAGUUUCAGGCGGGCAGUUUGACUGGGGCGGUCGCCUCCCAAACGGUAACGGAGGCGUACAAAGGUUUCCUCUGAACGGGUAGAAAUCGUAUCUAGAGUGUAAAGGCAUAAGGAAGCUUGACUGUGAGACCUACAAGUCGAACAGGGACGAAAGUCGGUCUUAGUGAUCUGACGGUACUGAGUGGAAAGGCCGUCACUCAACGGAUAAAAGUUACUCUAGGUUAACAGGCUGAUCUCCCCCAAGAGUUCACAUCGACGGGGAGGUUUGGCACCUCGAUGUCGGCUCAUCGCAUCCUGGGGCGGUAGUACGUCCCAAGGGUUGGGCUGUUCGCCCAUGAAAGCGGUACGCGAGCUGGGUUCAGAACGUCGUGAGACAGUUCGGUCCAUAUCCGGUGUAGGCGUUAGAAUAUUGAGAGGAGCCUUCUUUAGUACGAGAGGACCGAGAAGGACAUACCUCUGGUGUACCAGUUAUCGUGCCAACGGUAAACGCUGGGUAGCUACGUAUGGAGUGGAUAACCGCUGAAAGCAUCUAAGUGGGAAGCCCACCUCAAGAUAAGUAUUCUCC
rnacentral:rRNA from 1 species